GACGAACGCUGGCGGCGUGCCUAAUACAUGCAAGUAGAACGCACAGUUUAUACCGUAGCUUGCUACACCAUAGACUGUGAGUUGCGAACGGGUGAGUAACGCGUAGGUAACCUGCCUGGUAGCGGGGGAUAACUAUUGGAAACGAUAGCUAAUACCGCAUAAUAUUAAUUAUUGCAUGAUAAUUAAUUGAAAGGUGCAAUUGCACCACUACCAGAUGGACCUGCGUUGUAUUAGCUAGUAGGUGAGGUAACGGCUCACCUAGGCGACGAUACAUAGCCGACCUGAGAGGGUGAUCGGCCACACUGGGACUGAGACACGGCCCAGACUCCUACGGGAGGCAGCAGUAGGGAAUCUUCGGCAAUGGACGAAAGUCUGACCGAGCAACGCCGCGUGAGUGAAGAAGGUUUUCGGAUCGUAAAACUCUGUUGUAAGAGAAGAACGGGUGUGAGAGUGGAAAGUUCACACUGUGACGGUAUCUUACCAGAAAGGGACGGCUAACUACGUG
rnacentral:rRNA from 1 species